AUUGAACGCUGGCGGCAGGCCUAACACAUGCAAGUCGGGCGGAUGAGGAGAGCUUGCUACUGAUCUUAGCGGCGGACGGGUGAGUAAUGCUUAGGAAUCUGCCUAUUAGUGGGGGACAACAUUUCGAAAGGAAUGCUAAUACCGCAUACGUCCUACGGGAGAAAGCAGGGGACCUUCGGGCCUUGCGCUAAUAGAUGAGCCUAGGUCGGAUUAGCUUGUUGGUGAGGUAAUGGCUCACCAAGGCGACGAUCCGUAACUGGUCUGAGAGGAUGAUCAGUCACACUGGAACUGGGACACGGUCCAGACUCCUACGGGAGGCAGCAGUGGGGAAUAUUGGACAAUGGGCGAAAGCCUGAUCCAGCCAUGCCGCGUGUGUGAAGAAGGUCUUCGGAUUGUAAAGCACUUUAAGUUGGGAGGAAGGGUUGUAGAUUAAUACUCUGCAAUUUUGACGUUACCGACAGAAUAAGCACCGGCUAACUCUGUGCCAGCAGCCGCCGUAACAC
rnacentral:rRNA from 1 species